rnacentral:rRNA from 1 species
AUACAGAGGGUGCGAGCGUUAAUCGGAAUUACUGGGCGUAAAGGGCACGUAGGUGGUUUGACAAGUUAGCUGUGAAAUACCCGGGCUUAACCUGGGCAGGUCAGCUAAUACUGUCAGACUAGAGUACAGGAGAGGGAAGCGGAAUUCCGGGUGUAGCGGUGAAAUGCGUAGAUAUCCGGAGGAACACCAGUGGCGAAGGCGGCUUUCUGGACCAAUACUGACGCUGAGGUGCGAAAGCGUGGGGAGCAAACAGGAUUAGAUACCCCAGUAGUCC